CAGAUAGCUCAGUUGGUAGAGCACCUGAAUAGAGAUUCAGGGACCCGGGUUCAAAUCAUGGUCUG
rnacentral:tRNA from 1 species